CAAAGGCCCGCCCCUUUUUACCGCCCUGACACUUGCCAUCGCCGCAGAGUCUCCCCCUCCCUGUGCGGCAUUGGCCUCCCGCUGGCUGGAUGUGCGUCCAGUGCAGUCCCCGGGGAUCACUAUGUAGCAGGGGCGCGGCUGUCAAUUGGCUACAUUGAUAAGAACUCUGCUGCUUUGCCUACGUAAUUUUUAGCCUACGACUUCUUCAUGUGCCCGUCUAAUCAGCACCACUGGUCCCGCGGUUAACGUGGCCUGCAGCUAGCUUGUCGUAGCCUACGCUAGUGGACUACGCAUAGAGGCCUUGGACUAGAAAGCCACUGGAACUCAUUCGGGUGCUAUAGCGCUCGUUAGGAAGGAUUGGGUGCUUGACGAACGGACCCUAUUUUAUUGAUUGUUUUUCUCUGUUCUGCGUUGCAUCCUGUUAUUGUCUGUGUUUGUAGCCUACGUUUGUCUGUCUGUUUCUUUGUUUCUUAUACACUUGACUGGAGGCCGUUUCCCCUAGUGCUGUUGAUCGCCAAAGUGUUGACCUUUGUUUUGUGAUUUGUCUUUCUGUUUGCACUAAUCUUUGUUAAUUUGUUUUGUCCUCACUAAGGGGAGGCUGUGAAGCUGCAGAUCCUUAGUGUGACUGUUUGUUUUAUUGGUUGUUGUUUGAUUUACUUUGUUACACUUUAUGUGAGCUGUCUGUAAUCCUUGUCCGUCCCCUCUGUUUAGGUGCUGAGAGCCGAAAGUGGGAGCAGUUCCUGGUGGUGAUGGGUUCCCAUCUUUGUGUGCUGUGACAUUUGUCUCUUACUGAGUGUAUCAUUGCCGCGUGUGUGUGUGACCAAGCACGUGUGAUUGGGUGCCUCCUUCGGAUACUCAUUAUUAUCCACUGCCCUCCCACCGGCACCUUUGGAUGAUCUGUCUCCCACUGGCACCUUCUCUUUCUUUAUCUCUUAACAUCAUAUGACUUUGGCAUACACAUACACACACAAACAUACUCUUACUUUCCCUAUUAGACAUCGCUGUUGGUGAUGGUUAUUUAUUGCUUUUGAUUACUUUUAAAUACAAACAUCAUUGGUUAACUUUA